AACGAACGAGAAAGGCAAUGGGAUAAAUUAUAACCAACAUAGGAAUACUCGAAGAGACGAUGAAUAACCAAUGAAAGAACUCCAAGUGCAAAAUGAAAUUUCUUAUAUGGUAUCAUCUUUGGUGUUAAUUUCAAUUUUCAAAAAUUAUAAUUUGAUAUCUUAUUGUUUCAAAUUUGUGGGUAAUUUGUAUUAUUCAUUUAUUUUAUUAUUUAUUUUAU
rnacentral:lncRNA from 1 species